rnacentral:rRNA from 1 species
GGUUAAGCGACUAAGAGUACACGGGGGAGGCCCUGGCAGUCAGAGGCGAUGAAGGACGUGCUCAUCUGAGAUAAGCGGAGGUGAGGGGAUAUGAACCGUUAUAGACGGCGAGUUACGAAGGGGGAGACCCAGUGUGUAUCGACACACGAUCAUUAACUGAAUCCAUAGGUUAAUGAGGCGAACCGGGGGAACUGAAACAUCUAAGUACCCCGAGGAAAAGAAAUCAACCGAGAUUCCCCCAGUAGCGGCGAGCGAACGGGGAGGAGCCCAGAGCCUGAAUCAGUGUGUGUGUUAGUGGAAGCGUCUGGAAAGGCGCGCGAUACAGGGUGACAGCCCCGUACACAAAAAUGCACAUAUUGUGAGCUCGAUGAGUAGGGCGGGACACGUGGUAUCCUGUCUGAAUAUGGGGGGACCAUCCUCCAAGGCUAAAUACUCCUGACUGACCGAUAGUGAACCAGUACCGUGAGGGAAAGGCGAAAAGAACCCCGGCGAGGGGAGUGAAAAAGAACCUGAAACCGUGUACGUACAAGCAGUGGGAGCCUCUUAAUGGGGUGACUGCGUACCUUUUGUAUAAUGGGUCAGCGACUUAUAUUCUGUAGCAAGGUUAACCGAAUAGGGGAGCCGAAGGGAAACCGAGUCUUAACUGGGCGUUAAGUUGCAGGGUAUAGACCCGAAACCCGGUGAUCUAGCCAUGGGCAGGUUGAAGGUUGGGUAACACUAACUGGAGGACCGAACCGACUAAUGUUGAAAAAUUAGCGGAUGACUUGUGGCUGGGGGUGAAAGGCCAAUCAAACCGGGAGAUAGCUGGUUCUCCCCGAAAGCUAUUUAGGUAGCGCCUCGUGAAUUCAUCUCCGGGGGUAGAGCACUGUUUCGGCAAGGGGGUCAUCCCGACUUACCAACCCGAUGCAAACUGCGAAUACCGGAGAAUGUUAUCACGGGAGACACACGGCGGGUGCUAACGUCCGUCGUGAAGAGGGAAACAACCCAGACCGCCAGCUAAGGUCCCAAAGUCAUGGUUAAGUGGGAAACGAUGUGGGAAGGCCCAGACAGCCAGGAUGUUGGCUUAGAAGCAGCCAUCAUUUAAAGAAAGCGUAAUAGCUCACUGGUCGAGUCGGCCUGCGCGGAAGAUGUAACGGGGCUAAACCAUGCACCGAAGCUGCGGCAGCGACACUAUGUGUUGUUGGGUAGGGGAGCGUUCUGUAAGCCUGUGAAGGUGUACUGUGAGGUAUGCUGGAGGUAUCAGAAGUGCGAAUGCUGACAUAAGUAACGAUAAAGCGGGUGAAAAGCCCGCUCGCCGGAAGACCAAGGGUUCCUGUCCAACGUUAAUCGGGGCAGGGUGAGUCGACCCCUAAGGCGAGGCCGAAAGGCGUAGUCGAUGGGAAACAGGUUAAUAUUCCUGUACUUGGUGUUACUGCGAAGGGGGGACGGAGAAGGCUAUGUUGGCCGGGCGACGGUUGUCCCGGUUUAAGCGUGUAGGCUGGUUUUCCAGGCAAAUCCGGAAAAUCAAGGCUGAGGCGUGAUGACGAGGCACUACGGUGCUGAAGCGACAAAUGCCCUGCUUCCAGGAAAAGCCUCUAAGCAUCAGGUAACAUCAAAUCGUACCCCAAACCGACACAGGUGGUCAGGUAGAGAAUACCAAGGCGCUUGAGAGAACUCGGGUGAAGGAACUAGGCAAAAUGGUGCCGUAACUUCGGGAGAAGGCACGCUGAUAUGUAGGUGAAGCGACUUGCUCGUGGAGCUGAAAUCAGUCGAAGAUACCAGCUGGCUGCAACUGUUUAUUAAAAACACAGCACUGUGCAAACACGAAAGUGGACGUAUACGGUGUGACGCCUGCCCGGUGCCGGAAGGUUAAUUGAUGGGGUUAGCGGUAACGCGAAGCUCUUGAUCGAAGCCCCGGUAAACGGCGGCCGUAACUAUAACGGUCCUAAGGUAGCGAAAUUCCUUGUCGGGUAAGUUCCGACCUGCACGAAUGGCGUAAUGAUGGCCAGGCUGUCUCCACCCGAGACUCAGUGAAAUUGAACUCGCUGUGAAGAUGCAGUGUACCCGCGGCAAGACGGAAAGACCCCGUGAACCUUUACUAUAGCUUGACACUGAACAUUGAGCCUUGAUGUGUAGGAUAGGUGGGAGGCUUUGAAGUGUGGACGCCAGUCUGCAUGGAGCCGACCUUGAAAUACCACCCUUUAAUGUUUGAUGUUCUAACGUGGGCCCCUUACCGGGGUUGCGGACAGUGUCUGGUGGGUAGUUUGACUGGGGCGGUCUCCUCCUAAAGAGUAACGGAGGAGCACGAAGGUUGGCUAAUCCUGGUCGGACAUCAGGAGGUUAGUGCAAUGGCAUAAGCCAGCUUGACUGCGAGCGUGACGGCGCGAGCAGGUGCGAAAGCAGGUCAUAGUGAUCCGGUGGUUCUGAAUGGAAGGGCCAUCGCUCAACGGAUAAAAGGUACUCCGGGGAUAACAGGCUGAUACCGCCCAAGAGUUCAUAUCGACGGCGGUGUUUGGCACCUCGAUGUCGGCUCAUCACAUCCUGGGGCUGAAGUAGGUCCCAAGGGUAUGGCUGUUCGCCAUUUAAAGUGGUACGCGAGCUGGGUUUAGAACGUCGUGAGACAGUUCGGUCCCUAUCUGCCGUGGGCGCUGGAGAACUGAGGGGGGCUGCUCCUAGUACGAGAGGACCGGAGUGGACGCAUCACUGGUGUUCGGGUUGUCAUGCCAAUGGCACUGCCCGGUAGCUAAAUGCGGAAGAGAUAAGUGCUGAAAGCAUCUAAGCACGAAACUUGCCCCGAGAUGAGUUCUCCCUGACUCCUUGAGAGUCCUGAAGGAACGUUGAAGACGACGACGUUGAUAGGCCGGGUGUGUAAGCGCAGCGAUGCGUUGAGCUAACCGGUACUAAUGAACCGUGAGGCUUAACCUU